rnacentral:rRNA from 1 species
AAUUUUGGACAAUGGGGGAAACCCUGAUCCAGCCAUCCCGCGUGUAUGAUGAAGGCCUUCGGGUUGUAAACUCCUGUCUUCGCUGACGAUAAUGACGGUAAGCGAGGAGGAAGCCACGGCUAACUACGUGCCAGCAGCCGCGGUAAUACGUAGGUGGCGAGCGUUGUCCGGAAUUACUGGGCGUAAAGGGUGCGUAGGCGGAAUCUUAAGUCAGAUGUGAAAUACCUGGGCUCAACCCGGGAAUGGCAUUUGAAACUGGGGUUCUAGAGUGCAGGAGAGGAAAGCGGAAUUCCUAGUGUAGCGGUGAAAUGCGUAGAUAUUAGGAAGAACACCAGUGGCGAAGGCGGCUUUCUGGACUGUAACUGACGCUGAGGCACGAAAGCGUGGGGAGCAAACAGG